CCUACGGGAGGCAGCAGUGGGGAAUAUUGCACAAUGGGGGAAACCCUGAUGCAGCGACGCCGCGUGGGUGAAGAAGUAAUUCGUUACGUAAAGCUCUAUCAGCAGGGAAGAAACACUGACCUUACGGUCAGCAGACGGUACCCGAGUAAGAAGCCCCGGCUAACUACGUGCCAGCAGCCGCGGUAAUACGUAGGGGGCAAGCGUUAUCCGGAUUUACUGGGUGUAAAGCGAGCGUAGGCGGUGCGACAAGUCUGGAGUGAAAUGCCGGAGCUUAACUCCGGAACUGCAUUGGAAACUGGCGAACUAGAGUGCGGGAGAGGUAAGCGGAAUUCCUGGUGUAGCGGUGAAAUGCGUAGAUAUUAGGAGGAACACCGGUGGCGAAGGCGGCUUACUGGACCGUAACUGACGUUGAGGCUCGAAAGCGUGGGGAGCAAACAGGAUUAGAUACCCCAGUAGUC
rnacentral:rRNA from 1 species